UACGUAGGGUGCAAGCGUUGUCCGGAAUUAUUGGGCGUAAAGAGCUCGUAGGCGGUCUGUCACGUCGGCUGUGAAAUCCCGAGGCUCAACCUCGGGUCUGCAGUCGAUACGGGCAAACUAGAGUAUUGCAGGGGAGACUGGAAUUCCUGGUGUAGCGGUGAAAUGCGCAGAUAUCGAGAGGAACACCUGCGGCGAAGGCGGUUCUCUGGGCCUUACCUGACGCUGAGGAGCGAAAGCGUGGGGAGCGAACAGG
rnacentral:rRNA from 1 species